CUUUCUUUGCUGGCGACCGGCGCACGGGUGAGUAACACGUAUCCAACCUGCCCUUUACUCGGGGAUAGCCUUUCGAAAGAAAGAUUAAUACCCGAUAGUAUAAUGAUUCCGCAUGGUUUCAUUAUUAAAGGAUUCCGGUAAAGGAUGGGGAUGCGUUCCAUUAGGUUGUUGGUGAGGUAACGGCUCACCAAGCCUUCGAUGGAUAGGGGUUCUGAGAGGAAGGUCCCCCACAUUGGAACUGAGACACGGUCCAG
rnacentral:rRNA from 1 species